GAAUCGUUGUAGACUACGACGUUGAUAGGCUAAAGGUGUAAGUGCCGCGAGGUAUUUAGCUGAUUAGUACUAAUAAUUCGAGGACUUAGAUUU
rnacentral:rRNA from 1 species